GACGAACGCUGGCGGCGUGCUUAACACAUGCAAGUCGAGCGGUAAGGCCCUUUCGGGGGUACACGAGCGGCGAACGGGUGAGUAACACGUGGGUGACCUGCCCUCAGCUCUGGGAUAAGCCUGGGAAACUGGGUCUAAUACUGGAUAUGACUCCACGGUGCAUGUCGUGGGGUGGAAAGCCUUGUGCGGCUGAGGAUGGGCCCGCGGCCUAUCAGCUUGUUGGUGGGGUGAUGGCCUACCAAGGCGACGACGGGUAGCCGGCCUGAGAGGGCGACCGGCCACACUGGGACUGAGACACGGCCCAGACUCCUACGGGAGGCAGCAGUGGGGAAUCUUGCGCAAUGGGCGAAAGUCUGACGCAGCGACGCCGCGUGAGGGAUGACGGCCU
rnacentral:rRNA from 1 species